rnacentral:misc_RNA from 1 species
CUCUCAUCCAUUAUCACCAGUUCAAACACAAAUUUUUUUCGAAGAUAUAUUAUCAAUGAAAUUUACAUAAUUUAUAUUUCUUUUUGUCAGUAGGCAAGUAACUCAAAUAAAUUACAUCAGACGAACACUUGUAUGAUCUCUAAGACCAUCUCGAUCUUGUAUUUUAACAUGCCUGAUUGCCCUCUUUCAUGCCUUUCUGAAGAAAAUUACAAAUGAAAAUUGCAACAUAAGGCUAGUCUCCCUGAAUCAUACACCACAGAGGAACACCAGCAACGGGAAAAGCUACUAGAUCUACAUCAAAGGGAAAUACUUGAUUCGCUUUUUCAGAUGACGGAUGAUAAACAAAAUCAUAUAUACAAGGCAUUAGAAUGUCCUGUUCCCUGUCCAUCUUGCAAAAUACUCCCAACUUCAAUUUUGUCUCGUGAAAACAGUGUCAAUGACUUGUCUCAGAUUAGAACAGCCGAUGACUUUUAGCCCCUCAAAACCUACAGUUGAUAGAUAUUUUUCAGCUGAUUUGGGAACAAUACACAUUUUGUAUCCCAGUUUGGCCACUGUAUUUACUCUUUUCUCCAUUCUAGGUACCGUGCGUAGCUCACCGCCAAGGCCAAUUUCUCCAAUAAAUGCAACGUUAUUGGGAAUAGGGAACUCCAAGAAACUACUGCAAAUUGCAGCUGCUAUUGCAAGAUCUCCAGCAGUCUCAGUCAAUGUCACUCCACUAACAACAUUUAAAAAGAUACUCUAAUGCAAAAAAGGAAUAAAAAUAGUUAAUCACAAUGAUUUUUAACCAAAAUAUCUUCAAUAUUGCUAAAAUUGAUGCAAACAAAACAUAAAAUCACAACCAUUCCAACAUACUUCACUUAAAACCAAUUUUCUACCACGCAAAAAAAAUGAGACAGAAAGUUAAUAUUGUAGAAUUGUGCAAGUGCAUUCUAUCAUAAGUUCUUAAACAAAAUUAUAUACUAUGCAUAUUUCAGUCUAAACUUGAAAAUUUGCCUGUGAUUCUGCUCUUCUUCUUCACAUUACUCACUUCCUUCACACAUAUUCGUAAAUUCAUUGACAGUACCAUAAACUGGAAGAAGAUAAUGAAAGAAAAAGAGACUACAAAUUGCCUUGUACAGCAACUAGUACAAUGCAUUCUACAUUUCUUUAUAUUUCCAUAAUUUUCUAUUUCCAUCUUUAAGAAAAAAGGCAAUGAUGCCAAUCUUUAUGUCAUCCCUGUUUCGAAACUUUAAAGCUUGAUGAAAAUUAAACACAGGAAAAAGGAAAACCAAAUUCAAGCCUUACAAGUAUCUUUUAGAACAGGCAAAUAGAAAACCAACACACAGAAAAUAUUUCCAAAGAGAAGGAUAUGUAGAAUGUAGAUAUUGACUUACGUUCUCUUGGAGCAUUAAACCAGCUUGCUUCUUAAGAACUGAUAUAAUCAUGUCAGCUCUGCUAGCUUGUACCCCAUUAACAUGCCUUGAAACUGAUGAACCAGUGGCACAUAAAGCCUGAAUUUCAAGAAGGAAACUUCGAGAUCCAUCCAUUAUUACUGCAACAGCUAGCCCAACUAAAAUCUCUGAACCCAAGUACUGCUCACUUAAGAAUAUCUCACUUGGAUUUGAAACAGCUUGCAGACCUGAUUGUGACAUUUCAAAUACUCCAAGCUCAUCAGUGGAUCCAAAGCGAUUCUUCACAGGCCGAAGUAAGCGAUGAGUUGAAUGCUUCUCACCUUCCAAAUAUAAAACAACAUCAACGAUGUGCUCCAAGACCCGAGGCCCUGCUAUAUCUCCAGAUUUGUUCACGUGUCCAAUCAAAAGAACUGGUAUUUUUGUCUUCUUGGCAAAACGCAGCAAAGCUGAUGUGCAUUCCUUAACCUGAGACAAUCCUCCAGCACUUCCAGUGACUCCUUGUAUAUAAACUGUUUGAAUUGAAUCAAUAAUUAGAGCACGGGGGAAUAGAGGCUGAAUUUUCCCUAAUAUGUCCUCAAUAUCAGUACUUGAAUACAAAAAUAUUUCCUCCACUCCAAUCCUUAUGCGGUCGGCCCUGUUAACAAUUUGCUCAAUACUCUCUUCUCCAGAGACAUACACAACUGGAGUUUGUUUGCCUACGUCUUGUCCUUCAGCAAUUAUUGCAGCAAUCUGCAAUAACAGGGUGCUCUUGCCAACACCAGGAUCACCACCAACCAAAAUCAAAGAACCUGGAACAAGACCACCACCAAGUACCCUAGCAACUUCACUUCCAAAGAGUCCAGGCAAAGGAAUCCUCCAAUUCAACUGAUCCAUCUUCUGGUUCACAUCUUUCAACUUCAAUGGUUGUGCGUCACCAACUUUCUGUGGUAGCCAAGACCGCACUGCAUUUUCAGAAACCCCCAUCCCACUUACUUUACCCGCACUCCCAACAUCCCUUUCUAUAAACUGCUUCAUUGUUCCUGCCAGGCGACAUUCUCGACAGAUUCCCCACCAUUGCCCAUCUUCAUACCCACAAUUCUCGCAAACAUAAAUAAUUUUACUCUUUCCCUUCUUUCUACUCCCAACUAUCUUCCCAGCUCCCACUUCCUUGAGCAAAUCGGUCUUCUUCAAACCCCCAUACCUCUUUUCGUUCAGAAAAUCCUCAUUUUCAUGACUAUAAUGCACUAACCCCAUCCGGAUUUUGUCUCUAUCACUCAAUUUCUCUGUCUUCAAACCGCUAUAAAUGUUUUCCUUCGAUAAAUUGUUUAUUUCUUCGUCAGAACUCUCCAAGUCCAAAUGAACACUGUCCCCUUCACUCAAAUUUCCCUUUCUUGCGCUCCCAUAAGUCCUCUCUACAUCGGUACCCACAAAUUCCGUUGAGAAAUUUGACAAUCCAGGCUUGAAUUCUUGCUCAUCGCCCUUAUUUAUGCUCGACGAGACUGAACCAUAAAUACUCCAAACUUGACGGGCACUCUCAUUACCAUUACCAUUCCUUGUCUCGCCAGAAUCAGAGUCGGUUAUGGAGGAGUGGGAACCAAGAGCGGACUCUCCGGCGCAGAAACGAUGGGAGGUGGGAUGGAAUUGACGGUGAUGCAGGGAGAAAGGCCUGAGGGUUCUUGUGGGGUUUAAGAAGAAAAAGUGUUUGUGUGUGCAGAAUGACCUUACGGCUUUCAUGUCAAGGAUUUGCAUGAGAGGGAUGUAGUAAAACCCUAAUA